rnacentral:lncRNA from 1 species
CACCUAAAAUAUCUCAGAACAGCGUGGCUGAGCGUGUGAAAUUGCUUCGCGGCUUCGGGGAAGGCUCCUGAAACUCUGCGAUUUCCACCUAAAAGGGCGGCGCUGGGUCCCGCCGCAAAAGAGAGAUGAGGGGCAGGUCCUGAGGGGAGUUUGAACGCAGCGCUCCGAUUGGCUGUGUCACGCGUCACUCAUCCUCCUUGCGCGCUGAUUGGGCGGAGCGGUGGGCGGGCUGUGGCAGAGCUAUAAAUAUCGCCUUCCUUCCUCAGAGCGGCGGCGAGAUCGGAGCGGUGGGGGGUCGUGGCUGUCUCUGCGCAGUCCGUGGGGCAGGUAAGGCCGGUCCGUGGGUGCUGCAGGGGCCCGGCUGCUCUUUUAGGGGUUGCGGGGGUCUGUGGGGAAGGGAUCCCGUCGGGCUGGGGCUCCCCGUGCGCCCCCGCCAUUGCCCGCCUCCCUCCCUUCCUGCUUCCAUCCCUCAGCCGGUGGUGGCCUCCCCCUGCCCGCUGUGCCCUGGGCGGGUUUUGGGGUCUGCGGGGUCCGGCUGCGGGGAGGGGGGGCAGCCCCAACCCCUGUAUGGCCCCGCUGCUGCCCGGAGCUCUGCCUUGGGCUCCCUCGGGCUGCGGUGGGUUCCUGGGAGGGUCUGAUCCCACUGGGGCUUUCCCGGGGAUUGAUCCAGCUCCGGGACCGCCCCCCACAUUCACUUCCUAUUAUCUUUGGAGUUUUCUUCUCCUGGGGCCGUUGCAGGAGGAACGGGUUCUGUUCUCCUGGCAGGCCGCUGGCUUCUUAUUGUCACAACCAACGUAUUUGCUUUCCCAAGCUCUUAGAGGCACCGGGCUGCAGCCAGUGGUAGGAUGGGGGCUGCUCUGGCCGAGGCCAGAGGACCAGCUCUGGGGUGAUGAGGUCUGUCCCCUUUGGGCCAGAUGAGCCUGUUCCAAAGCUCUGUUUCAGCAGCUGGCAAUUGCCAGUAUUUGCAUGUGUGGCUCAGAGAGUUUCUUCUGCAGCAGCUGUAGAGAGUUUUGGUUUCUGUGUUGACCCCAGCUGUGCCAGACCUCCAGGGAGAGGUGCUGGGGACAGGCUGCAGGGUCCCAGGGGGACAAUGGACAGGACAAGACAGUGCUGGCGCCACCUUCCUGAUGCUGGGUGUCACUCCAGGGCUGCGUCUGAUCUCCUGAAUCGGUUGAGGCAUCUGGGAGGAAGCGGAAUGAAACACCCUGACCUGUUGUUCUGUCCUCAUGGUCUGUGGAACCUCCCAGUGUGACAUGAACAGCUGUGGUGGUAGAACCAGACCCAAGCAUGGCUUGAAAGAGGCUUUGCCAGCGGAAUUGAUGGCCUUGGGCGCAAGAUCCUGCUUGUUGGGAGCCGGGAGAUGUCACAUCCCAGUUUCCCCUGGGGAAAGUAGAGAAGAAUAUAUGCUGUUCCAAUGAUGGG